GGAAGAUCUCAAGCUGUGACUCUGCAAAGGGAAGCCCUUUCUGCUGUCUAAAAGAAAAGAAAGUGCUUCCCUUUGGUGAAUUACGGUUUGAGAAAAGCAGCGUUGAAG
rnacentral:pre_miRNA from 2 species